ACGUCAUGUGGAUUUUGGCCUGGU
rnacentral:siRNA from 1 species